rnacentral:rRNA from 1 species
ACGAACGCUGGCGGCGGGCUUAACACAUGCAAGGCGAACGGAAAGGCCCUGCUUUUGUGGGGUGCUCGAGUGGCGAACGGGGGAGUAACACGUGAGUAACCUGCCCUUGACUUUGGGAUAACUUCAGGAAACUGGGGCUAAUACCGGAUAGGAGCUCCUGCUGCAUGGUGGGGGUUGGAAAGUUUCGGCGGUUGGGGAUGGACUCGCGGCUUAUCAGCUUGUUGGUGGGGUAGUGGCUUACCAAGGCUUUGACGGGUAGCCGGCCUGAGAGGGUGACCGGGCACAUUGCGACUGCGAGACGGCCCAGACUCCUACGGGCGGCAGUAGUGGGGAAUAUUGCGCAAUGGGCGGAAGCCUGAUGCAGCAACGCCGCGUGCGGGAUGACGGCCUUCGGGUUGUAAACCGCUUUCGCCUGUGACGAAGCGUGAGUGACGGUAAUGGGUAAAGAAGCACCGGCUAACUACGUG